ensembl:lncRNA
GGUGGGGGUUGUGUGUCCCGCAACCGUUGGUGGCCUCGGGGAAGGCAUGCUCCCGGAUGGCUGUGAACGUCGGGCACCCUAAAAGCCAUUGGAGUGAUGGCCGAGGGCCGGGACCAGAGCCAUGAACUCUUGCCCAACACUGCUUGAACCACAGGCCUGAAAGACAGUCAUGUCUUCAAGGGGACCUGGGCUCAACAAGAGGAGCCAGAAGGCAGUAUCACUUGGACACACAUGCAGGAGAAACAAGUUUCCCUCAUCCUGUUGUUAAUCCGUUGCCUUCCUUUGGUAAACAAUGUCAAACCCUUGUCUUCUAGUAAUAUGGUACUGAUGUGGGGUUUUUAAUGCUAAAUCCAUGGGACACCUAAGGGCUGAACGGGUAGUAUAAGGUGGACAUUUCCCAGAAAACUCACCCCUUGUUUUUCAUCUGAUUUUGAUAUUCAGUAUCUAAGUCAUGUCCAACUCUGUGACGCCAUGGACUGCAGCAUGACGGGCUUCCCUGUCCUUCACCAUCUUCCAGAGUUUACUCAAAUUUAUGUUGAGUCGGUGAUGCCAUCCAACCAUCUCAUCCUCUGUCGUCCCUUUUCCUCCUGCCUUCAAUCUUUCCCAGCAUCAGGGUCUUUUCUAGUGAGUUGACUCUUUCAAUCAGGUGGCCAGUUGUUGGAGCUUCAGCUUCAGCAUCAAUCCUUUCAAUGAAUAUUCAGGGCAGAUCUCCUUUAGGAUUGACUGGUUUGAUGUCCUUGGUUUAAGUCCCUAACCUAAGACUCAGAACUACAGCCCUGUCCCAGAAGGAAACACAUGACCUCACAUAAUUCAUUCAGACCAAAUCAAAAAUCCAUAGGCUUUUCACCUUUCUUGAGAUGGAAGAGACUGCGGACAGGCAAGGAGGGAGGUGAGGAAUGCACUGUUGGUGGGGAUUGAAAUUGUGAAGUCUUCUGGGAUGCCUCCACCUUCUGACAGACAUUUCUCUCUGGAAUUCAUCCAAAUAAACACAGAUCUAAGUACACACACACAGAUAGUCAUCAUGGAAUUUUUUGUAAACCUAAAUGUCUAUAAAUGGGACCAGUGACUAACAGUACAUCCAGGACACUGAAAUGCUAUGUGGUGGUCAGGAUAAAGUAGACCCAUGUGAACGCUUACAAGUCCCAGGCUCUACUGAGUGAGACAGGCAGAACAGAGACGCGCAUCUGCUCAGCACAG